CGGUGUCACAAGUACAUGAGCAUUUACUAAGGAAUAAAAUAAAAUACAAAAUUGUCCGGAAUACAAUUUGGAUAGAAAGAGAAAUACCAAUACUCUGAAGGAGACUCUGCUGGCUGCGAAUCACACAUAAGAUGCAACUCAUCUAAGUCCCCGUGUCAACCACGACGCUGCGUCCUGUACAAUAAAAUGUACAACAAGUGUAAUAUGAGUACGAAAACAACGCGUACCUAGUAAGUAUCCAGUCUACCUCGAAGAAGUAGUGACAAGGGGUUAAUUUCAACACUUACUAGUACUCCAACAAUAUCAAGUAUAGUAAAGAAGUGAAUAAAUAUGGAACCGAGUAAAUAUAUGAAACAAACAGGUAUAUAAUACGUGGUAUAAUUUCCCUCUUUAUAAUUUUACUCAAGCUCUCAACCAGCAAAUUUCCUCCAUAACUGGAGCUUUUAUAUAUAUAUAUAUAGUGGGUUGCACCAAAAAUGUUGCCAUAAUUCAAAUCAGGGAAAAACCUCGAAUACACUGGCUUCUUGCCAAAUAUUAUGCACGAUUUCAUGAGGAUAAUAUAUAUAGGAAAUGCCAAGGUGUACGGCCCGAUCUAACAUAAAAUUAAAUUGUGCACUGCCAAGGGUUGAACGACGCGAACCAUAGAUGUAUAUAUUAACCUGCCGAGGCGAACGACCCACUCCCAUGAGAGUGUGGUACAUAAAUCCUGCCGAGGCGAACACCCAAUCUCAUAACAGUAGUAGAAGGAAAUACCCCGCUCACGGUACGUGCGACGCGGUAAAAUAUAAAUUUAACAUUAAAAUCAUAUCUCUUUCUUUAUUCUUUUCAAUAUAAGGGAAAUUCAGCUUGUAGUUGUUUUAAGGAAAUCUCCCCGCUCGCGAAACAUACGUGUGACGCGAUUACACAUAGAUUUAUUAAGCUAUUAUAAUUUCCUUCAAUUCUUUUCAAAAAUACAAAGUUCAAAUGAAAACUUUUAAGAUCUCAAAUUCCUCAAUUUCAAUUUUUUCAAGAUAUUUACUAAGCAAACUCAAUCUCGCUUCUUCUCAAGUCAAACAACAAACAUAAAUCAACAACAAUAUCGACAAGGCAUGGUGUAAACCUAAAACUACCCAGACAUAGGCAUAGCUAGUAGUUACGUACGGACCCUCGUCACCUCGUGCGUACGUAGCCUCCAUAAAUAGAGGCACAUAUUAAUUUAGUUCACCUAUGGGGUUAAUUCCAUCUAACAAGGUUAGAAAAGAGACUUACCGCGCUUCGAAGUUCCAUAGCCGGCUCCCAAGCCUUUCAAACAACUCAACCGAAGCCCAACGCUCAAAAACUCGCUUUCACUUUAUUAACACUCACAAGCUUUUAAUCCUCCUCCGACAUCAUAACAUUGAGCAAAAUGCUCAUACGCCACCAACAAAUUGAUAUCUACAAUUACAAUCAAAAUAUGACUCAAAAAUAUUUAUCAAUAUCCAUCUAUGGCUCGCAAGUUGGCUACAAGCCUCCGGCUCAAAUAGUCUAAUAGGUUCACUUACUAGCACAUUUAACUCCACUCUUAUCAUUUAAUACCCAUUAGAAAUCAUCAAUGAUACUAAAUUAAAUCUCCAAUACCGCCAAAUUACUAUUCAUCGUCUUCCUUAACCAACAUUUCCGAAACAUUCAAUUUGGUGAUUACUUAAAUGAACACUUCCAACUAAGCUAGAAAAUGAUUCCAUAGGUUCAUUGCAUCCUUUAAUUUUAUUUCUAAUAACACUAUUUAUCUUUCCCUUAUUUUCUCAAGAACACUAUUCAUGCCAUAAACUAGGGAUAAUGAAAUCAAUUAUCCGACCAUAACAACUUAAAACAAAUAUUAGAAUUACUCUCACCGACUCAUAAGAAAUGAUCUUGAAGCAUUAGUAUUACCUUCUUGAAGCUUUUCCUUAAAAUUCAAUGUUUGGGAAAUUUGGUGUUCUUAAACAACUUGAAAGAUUUGUAGGGAUUUCAAAGAUUGAAUGAUGUUAAUACUAGUGUUAAUUGGAUGUUAUUAACUUAAAAUAUCCAAAAAAACUCACCUUGUAUUCUUAAGUAAUCCCCAAGGUCGAAUCCACCAUGAAAGAACCAAUCCCUAGCUC
rnacentral:lncRNA from 1 species